UGAGUUUUAGUAAAUGACCCCCUAAAAGUCUCACACACAUUAGUUCUAUUAGGACAAACCAUAACCCAUAUACAUAAGAAUAAAAAUCUUUGUAAUAGUUAUGUCCACCAUUAACAACACUGUUUGGGCACAAGGUCCCUUUGCUAUACUAAAUAUAAAUUAGAAACUGCUUAACAAGGAACACAGUGAGGAAUAUUAUGGGGAUGCCUCUCAACCUGAUGUAACAGAAACCAACAAACUAUAUGAGCAACAAACUAUUUACUGAGUUAAUCUAAAAUAAUGUUUUCCUUUACCAGGUCUGCAAUGAAUAUGGAUUUGACAAACUAUACCCGGACCCAACUGGCUGGAUAGACCUCGAACAAUGUGUUGGAUCAGGAGGAUUUGGAGUAAUCCAUAAGGCAUGGCAUUUUAAGGAAAAGAAAGAAGUGGCCAUAAAAGUAAUAAAAGAUCUUACGGUAAUGUAUAUGUUUUACUAUUUAAUUUAUUAUAAUGAGAAUGUUGCAGAAAGUGUUGUGUUACACAUACAAAUCAACUGCCAGUAAAAAGAGACUUUGUAAACCAUGAUUAGCAAGUCGCCCCCUUAUAUAAUGGAUAGUCAUAAUGCAAAAUGGAAUUUGUAAUGAUUAGAAAUGGACUUCUUUAUAUGCCCCAAGCUCUGCUCAGCCCGGUGAAAUAUUCAUUGGAGGUUUAAUUAUUUAAUAAAUGCAAAACUAACUAUAUCAACUGCUUGUAAUAUUUGCAGCUUAUAAAAGGCAAUUGUGUGACUUAUAUUCAUUAAUCUCUAUGUAACAAUACUAUAAAGUAACCACCCCUAACAGAAGGGGAUUUAAAUCACACCAAAUCAUAGCAAAAAAAUAUUAUAACCCAUUUCAAAACAUUGCAAGUAAACACAUGGAGUGGCAUAGAGAAAGAGGGGAAGUUAGUAUCUAUGAUUGAGAGUGGACGCCAUUACAGCACAUCACAGAGAGACUUGAGAGAACUGAUAGCCGGAUGAUCCCUCUAUCCCCGCUCUGACCGUGGGCUCCGAAAUGGGGGAAACCAAUAUUGGAUAAAACCUGUUAACUUUAUUAAACUUUACUAGCUUUAUGCAUUCAGAAGCUUCUGAUGAACUGACUCCAGUCACGAAAUGCGUAAAGCUAGUUCCCCUGCCCGCUUACACUUUUGUAUUCUUAACAUGGAUUAAUAAAAUUAACUGGUUUUAUCCAAGUUUGGUUUCCUCGAGUUCUGAUCCGGUGAGGUCAUCCCUACUAUCAAGUUUGUUUGGGAAGUUAGUAUCUGUGGUGUUGGCACUGUGGUACACUGAUGGCAAACUAAUGAAUUCUAUGUUUUACAACAAGGAUUAAAUAGUUAUCAUAUUAAUGAUCAUUAUUUCUGUAUCUAGGAUAAUGAAGAGAUCUUUGCUGAACUGUACGUACUUCAACGCGUUUCUGGCCACGACAACUUCCCUGCCUUUUAUGGAGCCUAUUAUCUACGGCCCAGCAUUUCAACUGAAGAGGCGCUAUGGAUUGCUAUGACAAUGUGUGCUGGUGGCUCCGUAGACGCCUUAAUUAGGAGCACGCCCAAUAGAUCCUUGGAUGAGACCUGGAUUUCAUACAUAUGCAAGAAAGUUUUACAGGGCCUGGAUUACUUACAAGAACUGAGCGUGAUACAUCAUGAUCUCAAGGGCGCCAAUAUAAUGUUAACUUCUACGGCCCGUGUGAAGAUAAUUGAUUUUGGCCUUGCCACAAUAGGGCCCAUCAGUACAAGUAAUGCAGGAACCCGCUGUUGGAUGGCACCUGAAGUCCAUGCAUGUUUUACAGGAAAUGUACAUUAUAACUGC